rnacentral:rRNA from 1 species
AUUGAACGCUGGCGGCAUGCUUUACACAUGCAAGUCGAACGGUAACAGGCCGCAAGGUGCUGACGAGUGGCAAACGGGUGAGUAAUGCAUCGGAACGUGCCCAGUCGUGGGGGAUAACUACUCGAAAGAGUAGCUAAUACCGCAUACGAUCUAUGGAUGAAAGCGGGGGACCGUAAGGCCUCGCGCGAUUGGAGCGGCCGAUGUCAGAUUAGGUAGUUGGUGGGGUAAAGGCUCACCAAGCCAACGAUCUGUAGCUGGUCUGAGAGGACGACCAGCCACACUGGGACUGAGACACGGCCCAGACUCCUACGGGAGGCAGCAGUGGGGAAUUUUGGACAAUGGGCGCAAGCCUGAUCCAGCAAUGCCGCGUGCAGGAAGAAGGCCUUCGGGUUGUAAACUGCUUUUGUACGGAACGAAACGGCUCCGGUUAAUACCCGGGGCUAAUGACGGUACCGUAAGAAUAAGCACCGGCUAACUACGUG